GAGCUUGCUCCUGAAUUCAGCGGCGGACGGGUGAGUAAUGCCUAGGAAUCUGCCUGGUAGUGGGGGACAACGUUUCGAAAGGAACGCUAAUACCGCAUACGUCCUACGGGAGAAAGCAGGGGACCUUCGGGCCUUGCGCUAUCAGAUGAGCCUAGGUCGGAUUAGCUAGUUGGUGAGGUAAUGGCUCACCAAGGCGACGAUCCGUAACUGGUCUGAGAGGAUGAUCAGUCACACUGGAACUGAGACACGGUCCAGACUCCUACGGGAGGCAGCAGUGGGGAAUAUUGGACAAUGGGCGAAAGCCUGAUCCAGCCAUGCCGCGUGUGUGAAGAAGGUCUUCGGAUUGUAAAGCACUUUAAGUUGGGAGGAAGGGCAGUAAAUUAAUACUUUGCUGUUUUGACGUUACCGACAGAAUAAGCACCGGCUAACUC
rnacentral:rRNA from 1 species